rnacentral:sRNA from 1 species
UAUUUAUAAACGGAAAUAUAUGCGAUUAAUACAAAUCCGUAAUAUAACUUUUUCCUCCCGGUUCGGAAAUUAUUUAACCCGUGGUUUUCCCGUUCUCGCCCCGUUUACAUUUCGCCUUUAUUUUACCUUUAUUUCGUUUUUCUUUUAUUUUCGUUUCGUUUUCGUUUUGUUUUUACUUUAUUUCUAUUUGUUUCGUUAUAUCGUUUUCCCGUUUGCGGUUAUACCGCGGACCGGUAAAAAAACCCCUAUUUUUUAUAUUUUCGCUAUAUUUGUUUUUUCUUUCCCCAAAUUAUUUAUUAUUUUUUUAUAACUUUUUUGUUUCGAUAACGUAAUUAUUUUUUCGUUCGGAUUUUUACCGUACUCUAGUUUUUUUUAACCAAUUCUUUUGCGUUUUAAUUACGUUUAUUUUUCCGUCGUUCUUGUAUUUUCGUUUAUUUUUACCCGUGAUUCGGAUAAUUAGGUCGAAACGUUUUUUUUCCCGUCGUUAUUAAUUUUAACCAAUUUAACUAUUUUAUUUUUCGCGAUACCGUUAUUACCCCUAUUAAUAAUUUCAAAGUUUUUAUAAUAAAUUAAUUCGGCCUUAUUUUAAACGCGUUUUUUUAUCAACCGUAAUUAUAACGUAUCCGUCGCGUUACCGGUUUGAAUAUAUUCGAAAAUAAUUCCGACGACAAAAAAUACGCUGCGUUUUAAUAACGUAUUGCGGUUUGUUUUUUUAUAUUAAAUUUACUAAAAUUAUUAAUAUUUUAAAUUAUCGCCCCCACCCCGCCGGAACGGUUUGCAAUCGGUAUAAUAAAUAUAAAAAGUCGUUUUGCGAUUAUAUUAAAAAAUUAUACAUCCCAAAUUCUUUUUUACGUCGUCGAUUAAAUAAUUUAUAACGUAUUAUAAUUGGCGGGCGCCAUAUCGCCACCCCCAAAAUAUUACUGAUACGUAACGCUAAUAAUCAAAUUAUUAAAUUGGGUUAUAAUAUUAAAAUAACGGUCGGAUUUAAUUUCAUAUAUACGGUUUAUAUACGUAAAUAUUAUUGGUUUCGGACGAGGAAAUUUUUGGCGCAAUUUUAAAUUUUGGCGGCCCCAACGUUUUAUUUUUAAUAUAUUAUAACGGCGGUAAUAAAACCGGCUAAUAAUUUAUUCUUAACUUCGUCCAGGGUUUUAAAUAUAUUAAAAUAAAUACUUAUUUUUUCCGGCCCGUAAUUCGGAUAAAUAUUAAUUGGUUUAAUUAAAAACGUAAUAACGAGCGUUAUUAAUAAUUAUUAAAAAUCCAACGCGAAUCCGCUAUUGCCCAACGCAAAAUUAACGCCGUUAUUUUUAUUUUCGUUAUUAUUAUUUAUAAA